UACGUAGGGUGCAAGCGUUAAUCGGAAUUACUGGGCGUAAAGCGUGCGCAGGCGGUUGUGCAAGACAGAUGUGAAAUCCCCGGGCUCAACCUGGGAAUUGCAUUUGUGACUGCAUCGCUGGAGUGCGGCAGAGGGGGGAUGGAAUUCCGCGUGUAGCAGUGAAAUGCGUAGAUAUGCGGAGGAACACCGAUGGCGAAGGCAAUCCCCUGGGCCUGCACUGACGCUCAUGCACGAAAGCGU
rnacentral:rRNA from 1 species